AAAGCUUUAGCUUAAUUAAAGUGUCUGCUUUGCAAGCAGAAGAUGUGGGGUAGUAUCCCGCAAGUUUUA
rnacentral:tRNA from 1 species